UUUGUUGAGCACUUACCAUAUUCAGGAGUGUAUGCCUGGCCUCCUAUGUCAGGUCUUAGCUUUCCCAGUGAAGUGGGAGUGGAUACAGAUGAAGAGAAAUGGAGUGAUAACUGCUGUGCAGGGGGCUAGAGACUGCUCAGCAGCUAAGAACACUUGCUGCGCUUCCAGAAGACCCUGGUUUGAAUCCCAGAUCCCACAGAUCGGCUUACAACUGUCUACUUCUGUUCCAGGAAAGGAGCCAGGUAGACAGAAAGGAGUUAUAAAAAACGAAAAUGAAACAAAAGAACCAUCUAAAUUACUAAGGGCAAACAAGUCAUCUUCUAUUUUUGCU